rnacentral:rRNA from 1 species
ACGGAAGGCAGCAGUGGGGAAUAUUGCACAAUGGGGGAAACCCUGAUGCAGCAACGCCGCGUGAGUGAUGAAGUAUUUCGGUAUGUAAAGCUCUAUCAGCAGGGAAGAUAAUGACGGUACCUAACUAAGAAGCUCCGGCUAAAUACGUGCCAGCAGCCGCGGUAAUACGUAUGGAGCGAGCGUUAUCCGGAUUUACUGGGUGUAAAGGAUGCGUAGGCGGCAUGGCAAGUCAGAUGUGAAAGACCGGGGCUCAACUCCGGGGCUGCAUUUGAAACUGCCAGGCUGGAGUACAGGAGAGGCAGGCGGAAUUCCUGGUGUAGCGGUGAAAUGCGUAGAUAUUAGGAGGAACACCAGUGGCGAAGGCGGCCUGCUGGACUGUUACUGACGCUGAGGCACGAAAGCGUGGGGAGCAAACAGGAUUAGAUACCCUGGUA